CCUCCCACGACACACAGGUGGGUGAGAUGAGUAUUCUAAGGCGCUCGAGAUAAUCUUCCCUAAGGAACUCUGCAAAUUAGUCUUGUAACUUCGGAAAAAGAGACGCUUGAAUCUCGGUAGCAAUAUCGGGAGGAGAGUCGCAGUGAAAAGGCCUGGCCGACUGUUUAACAAAAACACAGAUCUCUGCAAACAUGUAAAUGGAUGUAUAGGGAUUGACACCUGCCCAGUGCUGGAAGGUUAAAAGGAGAGGUUAGCGUAAGCGAAGCUUCGAAUUGAAGCCCCAGUAAACGGCG
rnacentral:rRNA from 1 species